GUAGGGAAUAUUGCACAAUGGGGGAAACCCUGAUGCAGCAACGCCGCGUGAGUGAUGAAGGCCUUCGGGUUGUAAAGCUCUGUCGCAGGGGAAUAAAAAAAUGAAUGUACUCUGUAAGAAAGGGACGGCUAACUUCGUGCCAGCAGCCGCGGUAAGACGAGGGUCCCUAGCGUUGUUCGGAAUCAUUGGGCGUAAAGGGUGCGUAGGCGGCUUGGAAAGUCAGAUGUGAAAGCCCCGGGCUUAACCUGGGAAGUGCAUUUGAUACUACUAAGCUAGAGUAUCGGAGAGGAUAGUGGAAUUCCUGGUGUAGUGGUGAAAUACGUAGAUAUCAGGAGGAACACCGGAGGCGAAGGCGGCUAUCUGGCCGAAUACUGACGUUGAAGCACGAAAGCGUGGGGAGCAAACAGGAUUAGAUACCCGAGUAGUCC
rnacentral:rRNA from 1 species